UGGCCAUUCGGGCAACACAGGUGCCCGGGAGGACGCAACGCCGGGUAUGGACGGAAGCAGACAAACAUUUAUGGCUGCCCGAGAGAGGGGAGAGCAAGGCCGAGUUUCCGGUAGGCCCAGGGAAAGUUCCCUUCCUAGGGGAUUUUCAAACACACAAACAAACAAAAACAACAAGGACAACAACAACAAAAAAAAAAAAAAAAAAGGAGAAGAAGAAGGGAGGGGUUGAGGCGCGCUGAAUUUUCCUUCGCGGGCUUGGAGCGAGCAGAUCGCCAUAAAGGAAGAGAGGACCACGAUCCCGGAUCCUUCCACGUCCGCCUCAUUCUCUCCAGAUUCCGGCCAUCCUUUUUGCUUCAGAAUCACCCUGCAGCCAUGCAAGGCGUAGCCAACCACCAUCUGAUCUACUCAGCAGCAUCACCUUUAUUCUUUGAAUGGAUUGUAAUAGGAAGAAGAAGAAGAAGAAGAA